GCGGACGUGGCGCAGCUGGUAGCGCAGAACCUUGCCAAGGUUGGGGUCGCGGGUUCGAAUCCCGUCGUCCGCU
rnacentral:tRNA from 1 species